AAGCUAUCGCUCCAAGGAUGGUCCUGCGGCGCAUCAGCUAGUUGGUGGGGUAACGGCCUACCAAGGCGAAGACGCGUAGCUGGUCUGAGAGGAUGAUCAGCCACACUGGCACUGAAACACGGGCCAGACUCCUACGGGAGGCAGCAGUGGGGAAUAUUGGACAAUGGGCGCAAGCCUGAUCCAGCCACGCCGCGUGAGUGAUGAAGGCCUUCGGGUUGUAAAGCUCUGUGGGGAGGGGCGAAAACGGCCGGUAAGAAACGACCGGUCCUUGACGGUACCUCCUUAGCAAGCACCGGCUAACUCUGUG
rnacentral:rRNA from 1 species